AGACCAUGGUGGGGACAUCUUCUUCGAAGAUCUUUAAAUCUCUCCCAAGUUUCAUAUAACGACUCUUCUUCAUGUUGAAUAAAACCUAUGAUAUCUAUACGAAAUUU